CUUGUCAAAGUGUUCCACACAUGGUGAUUGACGUUGGGGAACCUUAAUGCUGAUUUUCUGGUUGCUUCUUCACAUAAGGUUAAGUCCUUCCCAUAUGCAUCUAUAUUCUUAAAUCUUGUAAAUGGAUUUUUUAAGUUAAGAAAUAAACAUUCUUCAGAUGUGUGGGCCUACAGGCAUCGGAUUCUUAUAUGGUAAAAGUGAGCUCGUCUGCCAUGCCUCCUUUCUUAGGUAGGCUUGGUUUUUUCAAUAAUAAGCUUUUUCUGUNCUGUCCUUCUGAUCUUGAAGUAUUUAGGUUAGCUUCCCUCUUAGUCUCUUAUUCCUAUCAAUGGACCCGUCAAGCCUUUUCUGAUGUUAUUCUCGAGUUCCCUGAAUCAAAGGUGGUGGUGACAUGAUAGCUGACGUAUUUUUAGAUCAUUCUACCUUUAGCUGAACCUCCAUCAAGGUUAGUUGCUUCUAUACAGUUCGACCUACAUCAGGGGUAGAUAAAAGCAGAUAGAUGGCUCUCCACAUUUGCUUCCUUUGGGAAAUGGGAAUCUGAUAUUGAUUUAAAAUUGGAUAUUAAAACCUAAUCUGUGGGAAAUAAAAAAUAAAAAAAAAAUAUCUGGUUUGAUUUGAGAAUACAUUAUAUAUUUUAUUAUAAGUGAAGUUCAGUUUUAUUGCUCGCUGGUUAGUUUCUAUAACAGAGCACGCUAGAUUUCACGUGCUUCAGGGUGCACAUGAAAUCGCCUGUGAAUUCAUGAAAUUGUAGAAAUUAGCGGCUGGAAUAUUUAAGAAUUGUGUCCCUCUCUAACCUUGAAAUGGACAUAUAGCAUGAUUUCCAUCUAAUGCCCCUUACCUUCCAGUAACAGUGAUCUUUGGACAUCUUGCAAAAUGCAAACAUUAUUAUGUAAGAUAUCUUCCACAUUUAUGUUCAAUUGGCUAGAUAUUUGAUACAUAUUUAAUUCAGAAAAUCCUGGUUUCCAUAGUCAGUCCUUGAUUUAUUAUCAGCUUUAAUUUUUUUUAGAUGAUACUUUUUUGAAAUAGUUCAAUAGUUAUCUGUGUAUUAACCUUGUUCUUAGUAUGCUACCAAAAUAGUUUGCAUUUUGGCAUUAAUCAUUAGGGUCAUACUAAAAGUUAAUGAUGGGUAAGUCGGUUGUUUGAUAUUAGUUCUCAAGCCUUUUUUUUCUGAGCUACUUGUUGGCAUGAAUUCUGAUCUACAACUGGUAACAUGUCGUUCAUCUAAUAACCUAUUUUUGUACUAUAAAAUUUCAUCUUUUACCGCCUCGACCCUCUCUUAUCCACACCAAACAGGUUGAACAUUCGGUGUCUCCUUCAUAUAUUUAAUCUUUCUUUUAUUUUUAAGAUCCAAGGAUCUUACAUUAAACCUUCUCAAACCUUUAAUCUUUAUAAUUUGAGCAGCCUUUCUACAUCAAACUGAAUAAGUGGAUUUUGAUCUCUAUGUGGUGAUUUUCUUUCGUUUAUUCAUUGCCUCAUUAUCACUAAUCUUUCUUCUUGCAUUCUUGUUUGCUGAUGCAUAAUUCUUGUUAUAAUUUACUUUCCUGUGAUAUCAGAUUUGAGGCUGGAACGCCUGCUAUUGGGGAAGCAAUUGGUUUAGGAGCGGCAAUUGAUUAUUUAUCAGGCAUUGGAAUGCAAAAAA
rnacentral:lncRNA from 1 species